GCCUGGCUGGCUCAGUCCAUAGAGCAUGUGACUCUUGAUCUUGGGGCUGUGAGUUCAAGCCCCACGUUGGGCG
rnacentral:tRNA from 1 species